GGCACAUGGAGUAUGGACUUGCAAGAAGAUAAUGACUGAUCAUGGUAAGAUGAUUUGACUAAAGAAAGAAUAUCCCAGUUCAAAAAUCCAAACAAAUUCUAAAACUACAAGGAUGUGGAAGUUUUUUUCAACAUCAUUCACAUGAUACAGGAAAAACUCUCAUGUUGCAUUUGGAUAGAAGGAUUUCAAGUGAAGGGAUUUGGAUAUAAUUUUUAGUUCAAGUGGUUGGAAUGUUUUACCCUCCUUAGUUGGUUAAAUUCAUAAAUUGUAAUUAGAUUAACAAAUGCAAAUGAGAACUUAAUUCAGGUGUAUUAGAAUUAGAAAUAGCACCUUUUAUAAGUAAUUUAAAUCUACCAUCAAAUUAAUUGACACUGAUGAAACCAAUGCAUAAUCAAAUCCAAAUCUCUUCUUUUAAAUUCCUUCAUCCAAAUGUGGUGUCAGAUUAUAUGAUAUUUCACAAUGUAAUCACCAUGAAAUUUGCAAUAUACCCAUAUGAUGUGGAAAUUUGCCAUGAACUACAGAUUAUGGAAACACCAAUUAUGGCAGUGCCAUAAUGGACAAGGAAAGCUAUAUGACAAUGCAUAUGAGUUCCUUAUUUGGCAAAAAAAGAAGCACUAAUAUCAGACAAGAAGUGGUUUACAAACUAUAUUCCCAUGCAUGAAAUUUUUUUACCACAUCCUCCUGAG
rnacentral:misc_RNA from 1 species